ACCCUUCCUGCAGCCCCAGGAGGGGAAUCUAACUUUUUUAGACAAAGAAAGUGUAACUCAAGCCAGGCAUGGUGGCAGGCAUGGUAGUACAUGUCUGUAAUCCCAGCACUGGGGGUGGGGGCAUGCUGAGGCAGGAGGAUUGCUGAGUUCAAGGCCAGCCUAUACUACACAGUGAGACCCUGUCUCAAAACACAAAACAACAACAGAAAGACACCCCCCCCAGGAAAAAAAAUGAAAAAAAGAAAAGAAAGAUUAGUUUCUUUCUGCUCUGGGAGGUAAAUACUCAAGCUUGCCUGGUGGAUCCAAUCACUCUGGCAGGCUGAGGCAGGAGGAUAGAAAGUUUAAACCCAUCCCGAGCAACUUAACAUCUUAGCAAGAACCUGUCUUAAAAUAGAAAAUAAAAAACAAAAAAGUCUAGGGAAGGCCCUGAGUUGAAUCCCCAGUGCUGAAAAACAGUACAAAAAGCACACCGAAAGCUGUGCCAUCCAGCCACCAAGCUGGCUGCAGGUGUAGCUUCCUAGGCUUCCUGACAGUGUCUGUGCCCAGUGUCCCAGUCCAGACCCUUCCGCCGCAGGCCCACCAGGAACUGCCCAAGCCUUCAGAGACAGGAUUCACCAGCCAACCCCAGGGAGCCCCAGCCCAGCAGGCUUUCUUUCCCAGAUGCUGGCCCCUUCCUCUCUGCUCACUCUGUCCCAGCCGCGGACCAGGCUCGCACUGGAUGCACUGGGCAUCCUGCAGAUCCUGACAGUGCCUUGAGGGCCUCUGUGCUUUGCCUCCCCAACACCGGCCCACAGCCAUCCAGAUCCCUGCUGGGGGAAGGGUUGUUCCGGAUUCAGGAAAUGUCGGAGGGGGGCCUCGGGAGGCUCCUCCCACCCUAUAUGUCAGGAAACUGAGGCACGACAGAAGAGGUGGCGCUCUCCACCUCAGAAAGGAAUUAUUCGCUCCCCGAGAACAUUUCUUGGGUGGUUCCCAGACCAAGGUCACGCGACGCAGGAGAUGCAGCUCCCGAGGAAGCCAGGUCGCCGGCUCCUGCACCUCUCUGCCACCUUUGGGCUCAACCACACAGACCAGAUAGUCCGCGGCGUGAGGUGAUCCACGCCCUGAUCAGGCCCCCGCCACCUGAACCUGGGCUAUGUCCCCACAGCCGCGCGCGACCGGAGCCGUUAGCUGCACAGUCGCCGCCUGGAGGUCACGGCGAUGGAGCUAGACCUCAGCGGUCUUCCAGUGAUGCUGUGACCCUCCGAGUCAGGACUACAUCCGCUGGAGACACCCCGGGAGGAAACAGAUCUUCAUCCACCUAGCUCCUCAUUGUUCUAGGAUCAUUGCUGCUGUCACCCUCUGAGUCAUUGCUACUUCUGUUUUGCUGAUGUUCUGAAUAAAGGUGUGGCCUGCUCAGGGUCCAGCGUCUUUGCCACCCAGAGCGGCAUGGAUCAGGCCAAAGCUCAGCUUCUUCUCUAGUUCCAUUUUCUGUCUAUAUAUUAAUUAAUUCUCCUUGUGCUGUCGUGGCUUGUAGACUAGGACCCAAUGCAGAGAUUCUAGUAACGUCCCUUUUCCCUGUUCCCCACAGGACUGAACUCACUGUGUGGCCUUGGCCAGCCUUGAACUCACGGUGAUCCUUCUGCCUCAGCCUUCUAGGAUCACAGGCCUGUACACUGUCUCAAAAUUAAAAAUUAAAAAAUGACUGAACUGUAGCUCAGUGAGAACAUACUAGGUUAAAGCUUCAGAUUCGAGAAAAGAAUUAUUAAACUGUUUGAGUUUCUGGGCACCACGGCCCACACCUAUCAUCACACCACUCUAGACUGAGGCACCAGGAUUGUGAGUUUGAAUCCAGCUUGGGCUCCAUUGUAAAUUCAAG
rnacentral:lncRNA from 1 species